AACCCAUGGUGAGGACACUUUUGUAAGAGAUCCUUGUACCUUUCCCAAGCUUCAUAAAAUGACUCCAUAUUUUGUUGGAAAAAAUUAAUAAUGUCACCUCUCAUCUU